GAGCCUGAGAAACGGCUACCACUUCUAAGGAAGGCAGCAGGCGCGUAAAUUACCCAAUCCCGAUUCGGGGAGGUAGUGACAAGAAAUAACAACUCGGGUCCUUUUGGAUUACGAGAUUGCAAUGAGAACAAUUUAGACCACUUAACGAGGAUCCAUUGGAGGGCAAGUCUGGUGC
rnacentral:rRNA from 1 species